AACAACUUGCAACAUCGCUAAGCAACACAUGGCAUGUGCAUUGUACAUUAAUUUUACUGUGGUUUCCAGUCUCUUUCAUUUACUCUAAUAUCUAUGGCUUUUGGUACCAUUUUUUUGCCCAACUACUCUUGUAAUCCUGCCGCCUCCUAUCAUGUAAAUUCUGAUUAGCUCCUUUUAUGCUGUUCCCUAUUCUGUCACAUGUGGGGCAUUAUUUCAUGUUAGAAACAUGUCAAACACUUUUCCAGUAAGCUCAAAACUGUUGCAGGUAAAUGUAGCAUUAUUGCUUUUGAUACCUUAAGAUUAAUUAGAAACAGCAAAGCUUUUCACUGGUACAGGUUUGUUGAAGCAACUACCACAACAAAAGCAAUUUGUUAAAUUAGACCAGCUGUGCUUUAAAAUGUUAACUUUUUGAGAAACAUUUAUAUAAUUAUUGACCAUCUCUUAUAUCUAGGCUGAGUCCUAAAUUUUGCCUAUCUAAAAUGAUGCAGUAUUUGAAACAAACACACUGCAGGUAGUGUGAUGAACAGCUACAUAUCUGACAGUGACAACUGACUUGAUUCGUAUGACAGCAACCAGUAUUAUGAUUGUUUAAUGAAGAAUGAUAAUUAAAAAUUUUUUUGAGAGUGAAACUACUAGCAUCUUCAAGUGUAACGAUGAGUAGUGAGCCCAACAAAUUAGGAACGCCAAUCAACCCCCAAGGAGAUAGCUGGUACAAUGCAGGUGUAUACUAAGAAACACCAAAUGCCUGAUGAACUAAUUUUGAAGAAAGGAACUAUUAUUUGCAUACAUGUACCUUUUGUGUGAUUGUUAUUUUCUCAGCCACUUACAUUGCCUUUUCUUAAAUUUUAACUGUUUUUUAGUUUAGAUUUAGUUUUAUUGUGUGUUUCUCUUUCAAUUAUUAUUUUGUUUAUUCAUCUUUGAUCAUCUUUCUGAUCAAUAUGAUGUUAUUCUAUGCAUAGAUUAGUCUCAUGCAUGGCCUCCAGAUGCGUGACAUAUUA